ensembl:snoRNA
CCCUCCUACAAAGGCGUGUCGGUGGUUUCCUGUCCUUGGACACGUAAGAAUUGGAGGCAAAAAGAUGUGGACUUGGAGAAGUCUGGAGCCCACUUGCUCCCCGCAGUCUCAAGAUCAUCCUUUCCCACACAG